AACGCGAAGAACCUUACCAGGGCUUGACAUCCUCUGUAAACUGCAGAAAUGCAGUCCCCAUGGCAACAUGGCAGGGUGACAGGUGCUGCAUGGCUGUCGUCAGCUCGUGUCGUGAGAUGUUGGGUUAAGUCCCGCAACGAGCGCAACCCUCGUCGAGUGUUGCCAUCAUUUAGUUGGGCACUCACUCGAGACCGCCGUUGAUAAGACGGAGGAAGGUGGGGAUGACGUCAAGUCCGCAUGGCCCUUACGUCCUGGGCUACACACGUGCUACAAUGGCCGGUACAACGAGCCGCAAGUCUGCAAAGACAAGCCAAUCUCUGAAAACCGGUCUCAGUUCGGAUUGCAGGCUGCAACUCGCCUGCAUGAAGUCGGAAUCGCUAGUAACCGCAGAUCAGCUACGCUGCGGUGAAUACGUUCCCGGGCCUUGUA
rnacentral:rRNA from 1 species